CAGCUAGGGAAAGGUGCCCAAGUACAACCUGGAAGCCACUUCCCCUCUGUUUGCCUGUCUCCUAGCCUUAUUUCUCCUUUUCCAGGAGCGUCUCACAGGAUUGAAUUCAGGUUCCUCUGACACCGUUCCUCAGAAAUGCUGGUUCAAGCCUUCUGACCAAGUGAAAAGCAUCAAAGGGAAAAGGCCCUCAGAGAAGGAAACCUCCCUGGGGUGGAAUCUGUACCCCACUGUUCCCUGACGGACUCAGUGGACCCACCAGGGGGUGUGGUCCUCAGUUCUGGCUCUUCCCCAAGAGGAGAGCCAUCGGUGGAGAGAUUUCAAAAACCUUCAGGAAGCCACGGGCGUAUCGUUGUUUUCCACCCUGCUUCUUUGAAUUUUCUGAAAAU
rnacentral:lncRNA from 1 species